rnacentral:tRNA from 1 species
GCAGCGUGGCGGGGUCGGGCUCGCCGCCACCGGGGCUGACGCCCUCGGCGAUGGCGCGCAUCCGGUCGGCGAUCUCGGUGUCGAUCUCGCUC